rnacentral:ribozyme from 14 species
AUUUCUUAUCUAUCAUUCUUUCUUUUCUUUUCAUUUUAUUUUUUUAUUUUUGUUUACGCUGCGUGCUGCGUUAGUUUUAAGAAAAGGAGAGGUGUCCGUCCCACAAUGGAAAAAAAA